AUGUUCUUUCUCGUGCAGCCUGGAUUAUCUGAAUGUAACUGUGCUUCUUCUUCUAGUGGUUCUGAGCUUCGGCUGCUUCAGGUCUUUCUGGUUGUUGGUUCAGGUCUUUGUGUGUGUCCCGGUCUGCUGGUUCAUGUGUUUGUAUUUGUGCUGCUGAUCGUCCUCCUCCUGUCUCGGUCCCUCUGUGUUCAUGUUAGGUUUAGUCUCCUCUGAUUAUUUCCUGUUUGACUUUGAAGUUUGAUUUUCUUUCAUGCAGUGUGUUGGUUUUACUUCCUUCCCUGUGAUUUUCCUGAUUGUUUUCACCUGUGGUUUAAUGGGCUGUGUUUAAACAGCUCAGUCUGCAGUUGGCUUCUCUGCUGCCUGUUAAGCUCCACGUGUCUGAUUCCUGUGUGGCGCUCAUGUUUUAGAUUAUCAUGUCUACAUUUUUGGACUCUGCUGCAAUAUAAACACACAGAUUUCAAUUAUAAAGGGCAGUUUGAUUGAACAGGAGAUUUAUGUGAUUGCAGCUGAAGAGUAAGGAAAACCUUGUGAAGCUUUAACAGAGACCCAGCAUAACCUCAGGACAGACUUCAGCCUUUCUGACUGAAGCCAUGAUGAGUCUGACUGACGGUGAACCCUAAACCACCACUGAUACUUUCAUAUAGCUCAAUCUUAAUUUGUUAAGAUUAUGAGCUAUUAAAUCGCACAACACAACUUUACAAGAAGCAGAUUUUAUUGAUAUCACAAUAUGAUGAUCAUAUUUCAGCUGAGGGUUUAUCACAGCCUGUAAGGGUCAAACAAAUCAGAAUAAAAUGGAAAACACACGAUUAACAUUUUCAUGAUCUGAGCCACGUCGCUCGGUUUGAUCGCUCGUUUCCCUAAAGCAGGGGUGUCGAACUCAUUUAGGGCACAGGAGGUAGUGAAGGAAGCACUGUGUGACCUUUCCUUAGUAUCCAGACAAUUCAGCCACCUCUGCUGCUGCAGAAGAAACUUCAAUGGCACUUAAUGCACAACACGUCUGUAUCACCACGCCGUUUCUGGGGCCGUCCUUCCACAGGGAGCAUUUUCAUACUUCAGAUAUUCUGAUCACACCUUCA